AAAACACGGGAUGGCCCCAGUAACGGCGAAGUGGAUGCGGCAACAGCUCAAAUUUGAAAUUUUGCCCCUAGGGUCCGAGUUGUAAUUUGCAGAGGAUGCUUUUGACAAGGUGCCUUCCGAGUUCCCUGGAACGGGACGCCAUAGAGGGUGAGAGCCCCGUCUGGUCGGAUACCGCGUCUCUGUAAAGCUCCUUCGACGAGUCGAGUAGUUUGGGAAUGCUGCUCAAAAUGGGAGGUAUAUGUCUUCUAAAGCUAAAUAUUGGCCAGAGACCGAUAGCGCACAAGUAGAGUGAUCGAAAGAUGAAAAGCACUUUGAAAAGAGGGUUAAAAAGUACGUGAAAUUGUUGAAAGGGAAGCGCCUAUGACCAGACUUGGGCCCGGUGAAUCAUCCAGCGUUCUCGCUGGUGCACUUUGCCGGGCACAGGCCAGCAUCAGUUUGGCUUGGGGGAAAAAGGCUUUGGGAACGUAGCUCCUCGGAGUGUUAUAGACCAUUGCAUAAUACCCUGGGGCCGGACUGAGGUUCGCGCAUCUGCAAGGAUGCUGGGCGUAAUGGGUCAUCAGCGACCCGUCUUGGAAACACGGACCAAGGAGUCGUCUUCGUAUGCGAGUGUUCGGGUGUAAAACCCCUACGCGUAAUGAAAGUGAACGCAGGUGAGAGCUUCGGCGCAUCAUCGACCGAUCCUGAUGUUCUCGGAUGGAUUUGAGUAAGAGCAUACGGGGCCGGACCCGAAAGAAGGUGAACUAUGCCUGUAUAGGGUGAAGCCAGAGGAAACUCUGGUGGAGGCUCGCAGCGGUUCUGACGUGCGAAUCGAU
rnacentral:rRNA from 1 species